UAUCUAAGGUAACCGAAGGAGCAGAA
rnacentral:piRNA from 1 species